UGCGAAAGAAUGGUUUUUCUCAGUUUUGUUGGUAUAAUUGGGCAUCGUUGGAUUCGAGGUAGUAGUGCAGUUUGUCUGUCAUUUCUUUCUUGCUUCAAACGAUAUAACGGGCGCAAGCCCAACUUAACUGAAAUAGGAAAUUGUAAUGGCAACUGGCAUCGUAAAAUGGUUCAAUGAUUCGAAGGGUUUCGGCUUUAUUACCCCUGACGAAGGCGGCGAAGAUCUGUUCGCUCACUUCUCGGCUAUCCAGUCGAACGGCUUCAAGUCCCUGCAAGAGAACCAACGCGUUUCUUUUGAAGUGACCGCUGGCCCUAAAGGCAAGCAAGCUUCGAACAUUCAGCCAAUCUAAUACGCUGGAUCAAACGAAAUAAAGAAAUCCUCGGUCUCCGGGGAUUUUUUUU
rnacentral:sRNA from 1 species